rnacentral:tRNA from 1 species
GUCAGUGCUGGUCGAAGAUGCGGUAACGUUUGACUGUAAAUCAGACGCGAAAGCUUCGGGGGUUCGAAUCCCUCACCUGGCACCA